UCGCUCACUUCUAUAGCACAUACACUAAAAUUGGAAUGAUUAGAAUGGCCCCUGUGCAAGGGUAAACCCAAAUUUGUGAAGCAUUCCAUAUGGUG
ensembl:snRNA U6 U6 spliceosomal RNA